rnacentral:lncRNA from 1 species
GCAAAUUGAGAGUCCAAAUUAUUCAAACAGAUGAUUCAUCAUAUCAUGCAACACCAAGAUUCAUAUGAACUAAACUAAUUCAUCAUAUAUGUUCAAUUAAGAAUUAUUUAGACGACCCUUAAGCUGACAUGACCAGACUGGUGGAUAACCCACUGGGAAUUUAUACAGAAAACGAGCCCUAUUACUUGCAACAACAUAAGGUUCCUGUGAGUAGAAGCUCUUCUUUGAUCAAUCAUCCAUGGCUUCCUCAGUUUUUUUUAUCAAUCGUCCAUGUGAUUAUUGAUCUGCUAAUGAAUUAGGCUUUGCUAUAUUUGUUCCAACAUCUGGUAUCAGAGCCAAUAAUAUUGGCUUCUCAUUAAUCCGUCAAGGCUGAUGCUUAUGUAAUUACUAAUCAUUAUUUUCUUCUUCUAAUUACUAAUUAUUAUAUUCUUCUUCUAAUCAUUAAUCUGAUUAUACAAGAUGUUCCAAGCGAUUAAAUUUUGUAAAAGAGGAAAUUUGAAUUUAUACCCGUCCGCCGUGGUUUUAAGAUUCCGGCCACACAAAUCUGCACAAGCCUUAAGGUCCCUUCUCCACUGCUCCACCUCAUCUGGAUCUUCAUCCCUUUCAUGCUUCCGAAAUGCUUCCCCAAAACUACCGCUCUGUUUCCUCACUUGAGAAGGGUCAACGUCGUAGAAUAUUGGAUAGACUACUUUCCCCUCUUGGUCUUCUCAUGAUCUUCGACAGCUCGCUCAGGCAACCAUCCGGCCUCCGCAUACCUCUUUGAGAAGACGACGACCGCGAUCCUCGACCCUUCGAUUUCUCCGUCAAGUUCGCUCGGUGUAUUUUCCUCCCUUCUGAGCUGGUAAUCUACAAACGUGUUAAUUCCGGCACUGUCGUAACGCAAUGGAGAGGUGGUCUGUGAAGGUAGUGCGUGUGUCGUCGCCCUAAAGCUGAGGAACACCUCGUACUUCCAGUGGUUUGAACGCCGAGACGAAGCGAUGCGGCGGCAGCGGUGGCGGUUGCAUGGGCGGAUCUGCUGGUAUUCAUUGAUUUCAAGUAAAGAAGAGAAAAACUCCUGAUUCGUUUCAGUCUAAAGAAAACAAGUAUCCCUCCCAAGAUUCCCCAGUGAAACUCCUGAUUAUUUUUUGAAUCGCUGGAAGAUGUGUGAGAGCAAAGCAAAUUAAGGACCCCAGCUCUUUGAUUAUUGUUUUGCAAAAAACAAACCCUCGAAGAUCUGAAACGCAGCUCAAACAGAUACAAAUCCAAUACGAAAAUAUUAGAGAGAAGAGAUACUGCUCUUUGACGACUUCCAGUUCCAGCUCUUUGUCUCUAUCUCGAUCUCGGUCUUAGUCAGAACUGGCGGUUGUUGCGGGCGGUGCGGCGUCGGAGGGGCGCGAGAAGAGGGAGAGAAGAAAGAAGAGAGAGAAAAAAAAUUGAAAUAAUGCCGUGUCAAUAACGCGUGAGUGACAGGCGGCAUUUUUUCAUUUUUUGCAUUGGUCAAUGAUGUUACUGUAGCUUGUAAAUAACGCGUGAGUGCUAUUCUAUUUCUCCCACUGUCAAUAAUGCCGUGUCAAUAACGCGUGAGUGCUACUGCUUUUUACUAGUUUUCUUGAUUAGAAAAAUGGGCGGCGGAUAGAGAAUGAGAGCCUACAGACCCUACCACUGAUUUGAUUGAUGGCUAAGAAUUAACCUCUCUUUUGUGACUUGAAGUACGCCCUUAAAACUAAAGACAAUUCCUUGAAAGCGGUGGGUUAUAAAAAUUGUACCAGGAUUCUUUCUUGAGCUAAGGAUAAGGAUUUUUUUUAUCAAGGAGUGUAGGCCGUUGGAUGAAAAUUCAACGGCUACAAACAGGAGGUCCUUUUAAAGUUAUAAUAAUUGUAGUCGUUGAAUUUUCAUUCAACGGUCCACACUCUUUGAUCAGGAGAAUCCUCAUCCUUAGCUCAGGAGAGGAUCCUGGUCCAUAAAAAUUAGUGUUCUAAAAAUUGAUCUAAACAAUCAUCUAGACGGAGCUUAGGAACUGAACUUGUGGCUGACCGUAGCGAUUAGGUUUUAAUCGGUCGUAAAAUCGGUAAACUUAUUAGGCGGAUGUCUGAGCAAGAUUAGGCGGGUCUAGCCGGUAAUAUGCAUGCCUAGACGGCGAUGUUAAGUCUCCUGAACCUGGGGUAAAAGAUGUUGCAGAGUCGGGAGGAAAAAGAUGGUCCUGUGGGGACCACAUCUUCUUUUUCAAUUUAAAUGGACGGCAUUAUUUUUUCAUGGUCCCACCAUCUCUACAUUGGUUGCACGUUUGUUGACAUUCUUGUUUUUAAUAAUCUCAUGUUCUCGUUUAUGAUCUUGAGUAAUACUAAGAAGGUUAAAAUAUAAAGUUAAAUUUGUAAAUUAAAUGAUAUGUCAUCGAUAAAAUGACACGGAGAAUAAUAUAAUUUGGUUACAUUUUAAAUAAGCAAAUAUAUUUUAGAAAUGUUAUCAAUGACAUAAAUCACUGCAAAACCAAACCGUAGCACACAAAUCAUCCCUGCUAAAACAGCUAAAAUCACACAAGUUUACAAACAUUGGGAUAAAAUCCAUAGUUAUUCAUGUUAAAUAUCAUUACAAUAAGUUGAUUUUUGUUGGCUGCAGCCAUCCAACUACUAUGUUCCUUCAGCGCCCAAUGUUGGAUUUUCGAAGGCGAAGAAACUCCAGACAGUCUCCUUUUUGGCCUUGCUGCAGCUGCUGCUACUACUGUGUUACCACUUGGAAAUUGGAUGCUCAGAUUUCCCGUGCAUGCUGCGACUCUUGCCCGAGCAUUCUCGAAGACAAUCACCGCAUAAACUUCAAUCGGAAAUCACAAAUUUGCAUGCAAAACACGCAAUGAGACAUCACAAUCGUCACAAAUUUGAAGUUUAACUCCACUACCAUUCUUUCAACACCAAUUUAGAACGGAACUUCACUACGUCACUUAAAAAUAAUAAAAGUUUUUAUCACAAAUGAUCCUUAAAAUUAACCCACAAGAGCAAGAUGGUCUCUGAAAUUGAAAAUCGAUCAAUGUAAUUCUUGAAAAUAGGUGUCACAAAAUUAAUAUGGUCAUUUCAUCACAAUUUUAUUAUGCGUUGAUGUGGUUUAAUAAUUAAUUAAGAAAGUUGUGAAAACAUCUUUUUGCACAUUGAGAUUAUCUCAAAACAGAGCUUGUCAUUCUGCGCAUCACGAAGAUCACUGGGGAGCGCCCAACAAGCUCUCCAAGAUUAAGAUUGAGGUUGUCGAUCGCCCAAAUAUUAAUUGUAGAGCCACAAAAAUCGUCAUCAAAAGGUGGUCUCGAUCCGGGUCAAAUUCGAUGAAGGGUGUCGAAGGUUGUAAAGAUUGAUGUCUUGGGAAUUUUCUUUUUCAGAGAAGGGACAGUGAAGGCUAUCACAAAUAGAGGUAGAGGAGUAUCAGAUGGAAUCAGAGAUGAUUACCGGGAUCGAGUCUCUGGGUUGACAACUUUUUAAUUAAAUUUUAAAUUAUUACACAUAUUUCUAAUUCAUUUUUUUAUUUAGUUAGUUUGCCACACCAGUACAUAACAAAAAUCUUUGACAUAAUUACGACGGAAUGACCACAUUGAUUUGUUACAUCAAUUUUAGGACUACAUUGAUUAAUUUGCAAUUUUGGAACCAUAUUGAUGGUGUGGAUCAAUUUCAGAGAUCAUUUGUGGUAAAAGAAAAAAAAAGACUUGUGGGACACAUAACAUAAUUUAGACGGAAUGACCAAAUUGAUUUGCAACACCUAUUUAGAAGGACUAUAUUGAUUGAUUCAAUUUCAAGGAUCAUCUUAAUGAUGUGGACCAAUUUCAUGAACUAUUUGUGAUAUAAACCUAUAUAUAUUUUUUAUAAAAUGCCUAAGUCCUCGUGGUGAUAAGGUAUUUGCAAGAUAGCUCAUGGUAAGGAAAUUCGGAUUUAAACUUUUGGAAUAAAGUCCGUUAGGAUUUUAGUCCAAAAAACAAAUUUCCGUUAUCUCUGUUAACCUCAAAAACAAAACUUCGUAUUUCUAUGAAUUUCUGCACUGCCUUUAUUAUGGCUCAAUAGAAAUGCUCCCAUUUUUUGUUUUUUUUGUUUUUUAAUAGAAAUGCUCCCAUGAUUAAUCCAAUCAAGUAAAAAUGUAAUUCUAUACCGAUCCCUUGUGGUUUGUUUAUUCCUAAGUUGUUUUCGUGCAUGUUUUGGAGAGUAUGGAGGCUCUGCAUCUGUCUGUAAUGGCCAGCCCCUCCAUCUCCUUCUCUAUGAUCUCAUUUCUGUUUCUACAUGAUGUGAGAUGACAUUGAAGAACCAGUAAGGCCCUUUUUAACAAUUAAAAAUCAAGGCCCUCUUUCUAUUCAAAACACACGUGGAAAAAGAGGGGCAAUGAUUACUGAUUGAAUAUGAAGAUUUUUUUCAACCAUGAGUAAAUUUCCAGUGAGCCAUAAACAGGAGAAGGAACACCAAUGAAGGAGGAACACAAUGAAAAUGCACGAAAGUAACAAAUGAUGAAGGGGAGCAAAGCCCAACGGGACAUAAUGAGUUAACUGUAGCCACAUGCAGGGAAAUGUACGAAGCGUGAAUAUAGAGACUCAUGAUUCCUAACCCUUAAGAAAAGGGAAGCUUAAUGGAGAAACUAACAAAAAUUUUGAUUUUGGUCUUAAUUCCUAAUGUAUUUCACCACAAGGGUUUAAAUCAUUUUUCUUUUAUUUUAUUUUUUAUUUUUUUAUUUUUACCACAUGAACUAUCUUCAGAAUACUCUAUUACCACGAUGAUCAUUUAUUAAAUUAGGCCUUUAUAAAAUGUUAGUUCGGUUUAGAAUUACUGAACAAAGGCAUAUGAGAUCCUGAAUCCGGUACCGUACGAACUUUUUGUAGAAAAAGAAUAUGUGGAUGAAAAAGUAUAUUUCAUUAAUACGUGAAUACCAAUAUAUACAAUCACAUUCCUUGCACACCAAGGUAUUAACCCUACAAGUUAGGGAUACAAAUUAGGAAUACAAAUAUAAUUAGGAUUACAAUCAACUAAUACUUCUAUUUGUCUAACACUCCCCCUCAAGCUGGAGAGUGGAUGUCAAGAACUCCCAACUUGCGUAACAUAGUCGAAAACUUGUCCUUCCCGAGAGGCUUGGUGAACAAAUCUGCCAAUUGGUGCGCCAUACCCACAAACUUGGUUGCUAUAGUUCCAUCUGCAAUCUUAUCUCGUAUAAAGUGACAAUCCAUCUCAAUAUGACGAGUUCGUUCAUGAAAAACAAGAUUAGCUGCUAUAUGUAACGCUGCUUGAUUAUCGCAAAACAAGACGGAAGGACUUCCUAAAGGAAUGUUCAAAUCCUUCAACAAAAAACGAAGCCAAAUUAACUCACAACAAGCACCUGCCAUAGCCCUGUAUUCUGCCUCAGCUGAAGAAAGUGAAACAGUUUUCUGACGCUUUGUCCGCCACGAAAUCAAAGAAUUUCCCAAGAAUACACAAUACCCAGUAGUCGAACGGCGAGUGAUAGGACAACCUGCCCAAUCAGAGUCACAGAAAGCAGCUAAUUUGGUUUGAUUGUCAGAACUAAAUAAUAAGCCUUGACCUGGAGUAGACUUCAAAUAACGAACAACACGAAGUGCAGCAUCCAUAUGAGGUACACGUGGCUCGUGCAUAAACCGACUCAAAACAUGCACGGAAUAAGUGAUAUCCGGCCGAGUUAUAGUAUAAGGUAGAUUAGCCGUCCUAUUAAACGCCGAUACUUUUCAGGAUCUUUGAGAAGUUCUCCUUUAUCAGAUAAUUUAGUAUCAUCCAUAGGAAAAGCAAUGGGCCGUGCUCCCAGAAAACCAUAAUCCUUGAGAAUCUCUAAUGCAUACUUACGCUGUGAAAUAUAAAUCCCACGUUGGGAUCGAGAAACCUCAAUACCCAAAAAAUAUUUUAAAUCACCAAGGUCUUUUAUCCGAAAAUGGUCACGGAGAAAAGAUUUCAAAGCAUUGAUGGCACUGACGUCGUUGCCUGUAAUCACAAUAUCAUCCACAUAAAUGAGUAAGGAUGUGAAGGAAUUACCGGACUUUCUGGUGAACAAUGAAUAAUCAGCUUUGGACUGUUGAAAACCAGCAGAAAGAAUGGCACUAGUGAACUUGGCAAACCAUUGGCGAGAAGCUUGCUUGAAACCGUAAAGAGAUUUGUGAAGGCGACACACAAGAUUCUCCCCCUGUCGCAGAAGACCAGGAGAAUGAGACAUAUAAAUUUCCUUAUGUAAAUCACCAUGCAAGAAAGCAUUAUUAACAUCGAGCUGAUGAAGAGACCAAGACUGACUAGCAGCAAGGGCAAGAAGACAACGUACUGUAAUCAUCUUAGCAGUAGGAGAAAAUGUGUCAUGAUAAUCAAUACCAGCAGCUUGAGUGAAGCCCUUAGCAACCAAGCGAGCUUUAUAACGCUCUAUGGAACCGUCAGAGUUAUGCUUCAGUUUGUACACCCACUUACAAGCAAUAGGAACUUUGCCAGGGGGCAAGGGAGUCAAUGUCCAAGUACCAUUGGCAUGUAAAGCCUCAAGUUCGUCAGCCAUGGCCCGACGCCAAUUAGGAUCACGAGCAGCCUCUGCAAAAGAAGAUGGCUCCAAACUCCGACUGACGGAGUAAAUAUAUGAAAGAUGGGGUGGAGAGAUGCGGUGGUAAGAAAUAAAGUUACAAAGAGGAUAUCGUGUACCUUUGACAGAACCGGGCUGCGAAGUCGACGAAGGGUGUGGAGGCAGAAUCACCUGCGAGCAAACAUAAUCCUUUAAAUAUUUGGGAGGGUUGUGGGUGCGGGAAGAAGUGCGGGUAGAAGGAUUGGCAGUGGGUAGUGACUGAGGAGGGGGGACCGUGAGGGUGGGGGAAGGAGUGGGGUUGUCGGUGGAAGAGGGAAUAGGUGGGGCCGAUUGGGAAAGGGUAUUAGUGGGGGACGGGAAAGGUGAGAUGGAAAUGGGGUGGGGUGGAGAUGUGGUAUAUGGAAUAGGGGACGGAUGGAUAGGUGAUGUGGCAGGUGAGGGAGGAGAGAAAUGACACGUGGGUCGGGGAGAUGGUGGGUAAGAAAUAUCUGGGGAAGGUGGAAAAGACAGAGGAGGGGUGAUGGGUGGUGUAGGUGGGGGCGUGGCAGCAAAAGGAAAAGUGUUUUCAUGAAAAAUUACAUCGCGACUGGUGAAGGUGCGGUGGGUUUCUAAGUCAUAUAAUUUGUAAGCUUUUUGACCAUGAGGAUAACCAAUGAAGGUGCAUCGAUGGGCCCGAGGGGAAAAUUUAAUGGUAGGGUUGAUGGAAGUGGCAUAAGCGAGACAACCGAAGACACGGAAGUGGUCAUAGGAUGGGGGUUGAGUAUGGAGGACCUCAAAAGGAGAUUUAUUAUGCAAAAGUCGAGUAGGGAGACGAUUGAUGGUAUAGGCAGCGGUAAGGACACAUUCACCCCAAAAUUUGAGUGGAAGAUGGGAUUGAAAUCGAAUGGCGCGAGCGGUUUCAAGAAGGUGCCUAUGUUUGCGUUCAACAACGCCAUUUUGUUGGGGGGUGUAGACACAUGAAGUUUGAAAAAGAACCCCAUUAUCAGAAAAAAAAUUGCGAAGAGAAAUAAAUUCUCCGCCAUUAUCGGUACGAAUGCUUUGAACCUUUGUGUGAAAUUGGGUUUGAACAUAUGCAAAAAAUUGUUUGAUGAUGGGUUGAGUAUCAUAUUUAUGUUGCAUGAGAAAUACCCACGUAAAGCGGGAAAAAUCAUCCACAAUAGUCAAAAAAUAAUGAGCGCCAGUAAGGGAAGAUUGACGAUUCGGACCCCAAAUAUCACAAUGAAUUAAAGCAAAAGGAAAAGUUGUUGAAAUUGAACUUAAACCAAAAGGUUGACGGGUUUGUUUGGCCAGAGGACAAACAUCACAAACAUGACUAGAAUCUAAGGGACAAUUAAGGAAAGUAGAUGCUAGAACUUGCAGACUGCGAGAAGAAAGGUGACCAAGACGCCGAUGCCAUAAGGGAGAAGGUAUAGUGAUGAUGUUGCAUAGAGGUUGACGGGUGGGGAGAGAGGAUGCAAGGGCCACAAGGUAAUAAAGGUCGCCACAUCGCUUACCCACACCAAUCGUCACCUUCGAAACCAAGUCCUGCAAAACACACCAAGAAGGAAAAAAGGUUAUGGAACACGAUAAACCAUCUGUAAGCUUACCAACCGAUAAAAGGUCCACUUUAAAAUUAGGGACACAUAAAACAUCGUCCAAAUCAAUCGAGGAAUUUAAACGAAUAGUUCCAGUUAAAGUAAUGGGAGCGGUGGCACCACUAGGCAGAGAAACGGGUGGCAAGUGCGACGUAGAAGUAUUAACCAAACACGAAGCAGAAGAAGUGAUAUGAUUCGUGGCGCCGCUGUCAAUGAUCCAUUGACCAUGACAAGAAGCCACGGGUAACAAACCUUGGGCAAAAUCAGUACUGGUAACGGCAUGGGCCUGAGGAGGUGGUGGCGCAUUGAGAGCGGCAAGAAGGCGGGAAUGUUGCUCGGCAGAAAGAUUAGGCAUGGCAACCUGCAAUUCAUGCAGAGUGGGCUGACUGUUCACAUGAUGGGCGGAUGGGCCAGGUUGUGAUGGGCCGUUGGGGCCUAAGGGGGACCGAGAAACACCAUUAGUGAUGCGGGCAGAAGACGCAGCGACGCUGCUACGGCCAGAAGAAGCAGAUCCACUGCUGCGCACAGAACCAGUAGAAGUCGAAUGGCGGCGAGGUGGUCUCCACGGCUGACCAUGAAGGGGAUGGCCAACGGGAUACCCAUGCAGUUUAUGGCAAGUGUCACGGGUGUGGAAGUCAUAAUCACAAUAGGUGCAAUGGAGAGGGGGUCGGUCGGACGAAGAUCGAGAAGAGCUCCGUACAACCAUGGCAGCGGGGAGGGGUCGGCAGGACGUGAAGAACCUAUGGCGCGCUGCUUUUCAGCCUGAGAAACAGAUGAACAGGCCUGGCGGACAGUGGGCAAAGGGUUCAUCAAAAGAAUUUGGUCCCGGACGAUGGCAAACGAAUCGUUAAGACCCAUAAGAAAUUGCAUCAGGUGCUGACGAUCAUGUUUGGUGCCACAAGAACAAGAACAUGCAUCACUAUAGGAGGCGAGCUCGUCCCAAAGCCCUUUCAGGCGAGUAAAGUACGCAGAGACGGAGGAGGACCCUUGGGAGAUGGUGGCAAUUUCACGAUUCAGAUGGAAGAUACGGGGAGCGUUGCUCUGGGAGAAACGCUCACACAGGUCAUCCCAAACAGCCUUGGCAGUAGUGGAAAAAAGAACCGAGUCGGCAAGAUCAGGCUCCAGGGAAGAAAGGAUCCAGGAAAUGAUCAUAUCGUUGCAGCGCCUCCAGGAAGCAUGAGCAUCAGGGUCCUCGGAAGCAGAAGGUUCUUUAAUGUCUCCCGUAAUAAAACCAAGUUUAUUCUUGGCGCUUAAGGAGAUGUGCAUCCCGCGUGCCCAGGUCGUGUAGUUAUCUCCGUUUAACCUCUUGGAGACAAGAACAAGAUUGGGAUGGUCGGAAUGGUGAAGAUAAAANNNNNNNNNNNNNNNNNNNNNNNNNNNNNNNNNNNNNNNNNNNNNNNNNNNNNNNNNNNNNNNNNNNNNNNNNNNNNNNNNNNNNNNNNNNNNNNNNNNNNNNNNNNNNNNNNNNNNNNNNNNNNNNNNNNNNNNNNNNNNNNNNNNNNNNNNNNNNNNNNNNNNNNNNNNNNNNNNNNNNNNNNNNNNNNNNNNNNNNNNNNNNNNNNNNNNNNNNNNNNNNNNNNNNNNNNNNNNNNNNNNNNNNNNNNNNNNNNNNNNNNNNNNNNNNNNNNNNNNNNNNNNNNNNNNNNNNNNNNNNNNNNNNNNNNNNNNNNNNNNNNNNNNNNNNNNNNNNNNNNNNNNNNNNNNNNNNNNNNNNNNNNNNNNNNNNNNNNNNNNNNNNNNNNNNNNNNNNNNNNNNNNNNNNNNNNNNNNNNNNNNNNNNNNNNNNNNNNNNNNNNNNNNNNNNNNNNNNNNNNNNNNNNNNNNNNNNNNNNNNNNNNNNNNNNNNNNNNNNNUGGUCGAGGUCAUCUCAUCAGCUUUCUCGGCGAAGUGAAGUGUUACAGUUUAUUGGGCUCGACACAUUACACGCCGAGUUUAUGUUAUGAUUGGAUACUCUCAAGUGGGAUUUAGAGUUCGGCAUUCCGAUGGCUGAACCACUUUUACCAUUAAGACUUAUGUCCGCUUUGAGUAUUUGUGCCCUUACACUUUGGUGUCGAUUCGGCGUGAGUUUACUCUGACGAAUACCAUCACUGUGACCGAAUCUGACGACGACGAUUCGUGAACUUCGUAAGAAUAGUAGCCUUGUCUUCAGGUUCGAGAACCCAAGAGACCGAGACAUGUUCCUUCCUCGGUCGCAAUCGCAAGACGCAGAAGUCGGCCGCGCACCCAACGCAACGCAACAUCACACAAUUUUACUCCUCGGCCAAGCUCGGCCGACGAGUUGGCACGCCCCGCAUUCAAUCGAAUGACGUAGUUAGCUCAUAGAUUACUCGGCAUGCGCGCCACGUAGGCUUGGUAGUUUUUAGGGUCAACAUUAAGACUUUGGAAUAAAUUCGAUCUCUUUGGGACCAUAUCGGUGCUUCAAUGCUAUACUAUCAUUCAAUUCGUAUACUUGCGAGUACUAAAAUUCAAGACUUAAUGAGGUUAAUUUUGGAUAUCUAAUUUUCGCAACAAACCACCUCAAAGCCCUUUUGAAUAUAUGUCGCUUCUGCCUCCGCCAUUAAACUAGAUUCUUAUGGCAGGUCAGCACCGUCGCCUGCACCCUGAAAAAUACCAACAUAAUCUCUUACCUUGGUGAAGCCAGGAAUUGUCAUCGGGGGUGGGGGGGAGAACUUAGAAAAAGAGAGCGAGGUUCGAAAGAAUGACAACAACCAAAUCCUUUUAUAUAGUAAUGUCUUUCAUAAUUUAUCAAUACAAUAUAAUUUAGUACAUUAAUUUAACCCAUUCAUAUAGACAAAAUCCAAAGGAUAUAUACGAUAUACGAUUAAAAUAUAUGAAAAUAUGCACACAUCAUGGUUCAGAUAGAAUCGGACUCCAAAUGUCUAGUGGAAAUGCUUAACGAAAAAACUCAACUUGACGUUGUGAUUGAAGGCAUUCUCUUUGAUGUUCAGUGCUUGAAACAACAGUUGAGGUCAGUAGAAUUUAUCUUCGCUCCUCAUGUUUGCAAUAAAGCAGCGCAUCUAGUGGCUUCUUUUGUUGCCCAGAAAUGAGGCUUUCAUAAUUGAGAUGGUCUUAAGUCAGAAUAGCUAUUUAAUACUUUGGCUUCAUAGUAAACAUUUUCAUUCGAAUAUAAUCAAAUUGCUUUCUUUUAGAAAAAAAAAUAAGAAAAGUAAAAAAGAGGUUUGUCUAGGGUGUAAAAAAAAUACCGAAAAUUCCAAACCAUACGAAACCGAACCAAAACCAAACCGAUCCCGAAUUAUUCGGUAUGAGAUUCGGUCUCACAUCUUAGCAUCAUUCGGUAUCCAUGUCCCGAACCGAACUUUAAUAAAUAUAUUUUACAUAUAUACAUAUAUGUUGGAAUAUCUAUAAUGGGCCUAUUAUAUAUUAUUAAAAUAAGCAAAGUGUGCAGAAAAGCACAUGAUGUGUUGUGUGUUGCCUAAAUUUCUAUCAAGCAAACAUAUCUAUAAUGGCCUAUUAUAUCAUAUUAAAAUAAGUACAGUGUGCAAAAAAGCAUAUGGGUGCUGUCUAUAGAUACAUCCCUACUCAUUCUCUCUCUCAUCUUUACCUUCACCAAGAGUCUCAGACUCUUUUUCUGUCUUUUCUCUCAAAUUUGAAGCUCAAAGGCCACCCACCCACCCAUCCUCCCAUAAUCUGACUUCAUCCAACUCUCUCCACUCUGGCCACCACCACACCUUACUGCUUCAUCCCUACCUCCGAUUCUCUCCGAUUCUCAUUCUCUCCAGCGAUUCUCUAUGUGUGUGGGGUUUCAAAUUAAGGUUAGGGUUUUAAAUUGGGGUUUAGGGUUUCGAAUUGAGGGCUCGGAUCAUGAGGAAGAUACAGGUCUGACUAUUUCUUUACUCUGUCUCUUUUCUCUCUCUCUCAACCUUCAAUCUUCACUGAUUCACUCAUUGUCUCUGAUUUUAAAUUAGAGUUUUAAUGUAGGUUUAGAUGAUUUCAAGUUCGGUUUUGGGAAUUUCGAAAUACGAAAAUAUUUUGGGAAUCCCAAACUUCGGGAAUACCAAAAUUUUAGUUUGGGAUCAGUCGUCAGAUUUCCGUCUCGAAAAUAGUCAGUUUGGGACUUGAUAUGCCGUUUUCAGUUUGGUAUCCCAUACCAAACCAGCCCUAGGUUUGUCAAGUCAAAGGAACAAGUUGUUGGCCACGUAAGCACUUAGCCAAGUAAAAAAGAAAAAAAAAGUAGUAAUGAACUAUUGUGGCCUUGCACAUGCGAUAAGGUAUUCCAAUCGAGUGCUUAACUGUUUUGUAAAAUCAUUUCAAUAAGGGGUUUUAUAUGAGGUUAGAAAAGUGGUUGAUACAGUUCAAUUUUUUAAACUCUAAGAAAUUUUUUGGGGCUUUAAGAGCAUCUUCAAUAAGGGCUUUAUUCUCCAUGAGACUACUACAUUUCAAGUCUUAGUGAGAAAUUUCAUCUCUAAUGAGCCGAAAAAUUGGGCUGGAUCCAUCAACCAGGCUAGCAACUUCCUUUCUUAGGUAGCAUAAAAUUAGGCUACAUCUAGCCCCAAAAUCCAGUGGGUCCCAUAAAAAAAGUAGCAACCUAUGUGAGCAAAAUUAUAUCACUCUCCCUCCACUUGCGAAUACACUUAGAGCCUAUUUGUUUGCUUUCACUAAGUCUCGUUGGACUAGACUAGACUAAAGGUUAGUCCAAUCUUUUGUUUGUUAUCAACAUGAGACUAGCUUUACUGGGACUAAAGUUCACUCGCUCCGACUAAAACCUUGCUUAGCCGGUCCUAGCGAGGCCCCCCAACCACCUUGGGACUAGCCAAGACCGUUUUCCCUCUCAUGCCGCGUCCUCAUGCUCAUCAUGCAUGACUACGCCAUUUAUAAUGACAACGACGUGUCCUCAUGUUGUCGUCAUUUCGUCUUCGUCUCAAAGUUCAAACCACUGGAAGUAUGAGGUGUUCCUUAGCUUAGGCGACGACACACGCACUACCUUCAUAGACCACAUUUCCAUUGCGUUAUGCGAUGCCGGAAUUAAUACGUUUGUGGACUACCAGCUCAGAAGGGAGGAAAAUAUACAGAGCGAACUUGACGGAGAAUUCGAAGGGUCGAGGAUCAAUCUCGUCAUCUUCUCAAAGAGGUAUGCAGAGUCCGGAUGUUACCUGAGCAAGCCGUCAAAGAUCAUGAGGUGUCGAGAGAAGACCAAGAGGUGAAAGUAGUAUAUCCAAUAUUCUACGACGUUCACUCUUCUCAAAAUAGAGUGGUAGUUUUGGAGAAGCAUUUCAGAAGCAUGAAAAGGAUGACAGUGAGGAAACGAGUCGUCAUUAAAGAUGGAGCAGUCAUGCAGGACGAGCAUGAGGACACGGUGUGAGAGGGAAGACGGUUUUAGCUAGUCCCAAGGUAUUUGGGGGGCCUCGCUAGGACCAGCUUAGCAAUGUUUUAGUCAGAGCAAGUAAACUUUAGUCCCACUAAAGCUAGUCUCAUGCUGAUAACAAACACAAAAUUGGACUAACCUUUAGUCUAGUCUAGUCCAACGAGAAAUAGUGAGGGCAAAAAAGGGGCUCUAAGUAUAUUUGCAAAUGAAGGGAGAGUGAUAUAAUUUUGCUCACAUAGGUUGCUACUUUUUUUAUGGGACCCACUCGAUUUUGGGGCUAGAUAUAGCCCAAUUUUAAGCUAACUAAGAAAGGAAGUUGCUAGUCCGAGUAGUGGAUCUAACCCAAUUUUUCGGCUCAUUUGAGAUGAAAUUUCUCACUAAGACUUGAAAUGUAGUAGUCUCAUGGAGAAUAAAGCCCUUAUUGGAGAUGCUCUUAAAGCCCCAAAAAUUUCUUAGAGUUUAAAUUGAACUGUAUCUACCACUUUUCUAACCUCAUAUAAAACCCCUCAUUGAAAUGCUUUUACAAACAAGUUAAGCACUCGGUUGGAAUACCUUGUUGUGCGUGCAAGGCCACAACAAUUCACUACUACUUUUUUUUUCUUUUUUACUUGGCUAAGUGCUUACGUUGCCAACAACUUGUCACUUUGACUUGACAAACCUAGGGCUGGUUUGGUAUGGGAUACUGAACCGAAAACGGCAUAUCAAGUCCCAAACCGACUAUUUUUGGGACGAAAAUUUGACGACUGAUCCCAAACUAACAUUUCGGUAUUCCCGAAAUUUGGGAUUCCUUAAAUAUUUUCGUAUUUCGAAAUUCUCGAAACCGAACCUGAAAUCAUCUGAACCUGCAUUAAAACCCUAAUUUAAAAUUAGAGACAAUGAGUGAAUCAGUGAAGAUUGAAUGUCGAGAGAAAGGGAGACAGAGUAAAGAGAUAGUCAGACCUACAUCUUCCUUUGGACCCGAGCCCCUAAUUAGAAACCCUAAACCCCAAUUUGAAACCGUAAACCUUAAUUUGAAACCUCACACAUACAGAGAAUCACUGGAGAGAAUCGGAUGAGGGGAUGAAACAGUAAGGUGUGGUGGUGGCCAGAAUGGAGAGAGUUGAUUAAAGUCUGUUGAUGCGCAAAAACAGUGAGGACUUUGGUAUAAUAGAAAGUGUCAAGUUUGUGACCUUCGCUAGAUUGCUCCGGUCACUAGUGUGGAUAAGUAUGUAAAUGGAUAGAGACAUUGAAGCAAACACAAGAUGUAUGUGGUUCACCCAGAUUGGCUACGUCCACGGAGUAGAGGAGUUCUCAUUAAUUGUGAAGGGUUUACAUAAGUACAUAGGUUUAGUGAGUACUAGUGAAUGAUUUAGUACAAAUGACAUUAGAGAUUAUUGUGGGAGAAUGAUCUCCUUUUAUAGAAGAGAGUUUCUAGCUUUGUUCUGGCCUUGACACGUGUCAUGCUGUGAUUGGCCUUUGAUGUUGACAUGUGUCGCCCUGUGAUUGGCCUCUUAGUGUUGACACAUGUUGCGCUAUGAUUGGCCUCCUGGUUGGAGAGAAACUCUUAUGGGUCCUUGAUGGUAUAUAGCGUUGACCGGUGCUUGGUAGUUUCGGGAUUUGUCAAGUAUGGUACAAACAAAGUCAGAUUGUGGGAAGAUGGGUGGGUGGAUGGCCUUUGAGCUUCAAAUUCGAGAGAAAAGACAGAAAGAGUCUGAGACUCUUGGUGAAGGUAAGGAUGAGAGAGAAUGAGUAGGGAUGUAUCUAUAGACAGCACCCAUAUGCUUUUCUGCACACUGUACUUAUUUUAAUAUGAUAUAAUAGGCCAUUAUAGAUAUGUUUGCUUGAUAGAAAUUUAGGCAACACACAACACAUCAUGUGCUUUUCUGCACACUUUGCUUAUUUUAAUAAUAUAUAAUAGGCCCAUUAUAGAUAUUUCAACAUAUAUGUAUAUAUGUAAAAUAUAUUUAUUAAAGUUCGGUUCGGGACAUGGAUACCGAAUGAUGCUAAGAUGUGAGACCGAAUCUCAUACCGAAUAAUUCGGGAUCGGUUUGGUUUUGGUUCGGUUUCGUAUGGUUUGGAAUUUUCGGUAUUUUUUUACACCCCUAGACAAACCUCUUUUUUACUUUUCUUAUUUUUUUUCUAAAAGAAAGCAAUUUGAUUAUAUUCGAAUGAAAAUGUUUACUAUGAAGCCAAAGUAUUAAAUAGCUAUUCUGACUUAAGACCAUCUCAAUUAUGAAAGCCUCAUUUCUGGGCAACAAAAGAAGCCACUAGAUGCGCUGCUUUAUUGCAAAAACAUGAGGAGCGAAGAUAAAUUCUACUGACCUCAACUGUUGUUUCAAGCACUGAACAUCAAAGAGAAUGCCUUCAAUCACAACGUCAAGUUGAGUUUUUUCGUUAAGCAUUUCCACUAGACAUUUGGAGUCCGAUUCUAUCUGAACCAUGAUGUGUGCAUAUUUUCAUAUAUUUUAAUCGUAUAUAUCCUUUGGAUUUUGUCUAUAUGAAUGGGUUAAAUUAAUGUUAAUUACUAAAUUUAUAUUGUAUUGAUAAAUUAUGAAAGACAUUACUAUAUAAAAGGAUUUGGUUGUUGUCAUUCUUUCGAACCUCGCUCUCUUUUAAGUUCUCCCCCCCCCCCACCUCGAUGACAAUUCCUGGCUUCACCAAGGUAAGAGAUUAUGUUGGUAUUUUUCAGGGUGCAGGCGACGGUGCUGACCUGCCAUAAGAAUCUAGUUUAAUGGCGGAGGCAGAAGCAACAUAUAUUCAAAAAGGCUUUGAGGUGGUUUGUUGCGAAAAUUAGAUAUCCAAAAUUAACCUCAUUAAGUCUCGAAUUUUAGUACUCGCAAGUAUACGAAUUGAAUGAUAGUAUAGCAUUGAAGCAUCGAUAUGGUCCCAAAGAGAUCGAAUUUAUUCCAAAGUCUUAAUGUUGACCCUAAAAACUACCAAGCCUACGUGGCGCGCAUGCCGAGUAAUCUAUGAGCUAACUACGUCAUUCGAUUGAAUGCGAGGCGUGCCAACUCGUCGGCCGAGCUUGGCCGAGGAGUAAAAUUUGUUGAUGUUGCGUUGGGUGUGCGGCCGACUUCUGCAUCUUGCGAUUGCGACCGAGGAAGGAAUAUGUCUCGGUCUCUUGGGUUCUCGAACCUGAAGACAAGGCUACUAUUCUUACGAAGUUCACGAAUCGUCGUCGUCAGAUUCGGUCACAGUGAUGGUAUUCGUCAGAGUAAACUCACGCCGAAUCGACACCAAAGUGUAAGGGCAUAAAUACUCAAAGCGGACAUAAGUCUUAAUAGUAAAAGUGGUUCAGCCGUCGGAAUGCCGAACUCUAAAUCCCACUUGAGAGUAUCCAAUCAUAACAUAAACUCGGCAUGUAUGUAAUGUGCCGAGCCCAAUAAACUGUAACACUUCACUUCGCCGAGAAAGCUGAUGAGAUGACCUCGACCAAUAAGGAUUCGGAAAUCCUUCUCGACCGAGACUUGGAUAGAUAAUCAGUCGCCCUCGUUGCAGUGCUGUUUAUCCAAACUGAAGGUGCUUCGCGGUCGGCUGAUUUUACGGCAACAGUGCUGUUUAUCUAAACUUAAGGUGUUUGCCGGUUGCCUUCACAGUGCUGUUUAUCCAAACUGAAGAUGUGUCGGCGAAAAGAUAAAGGAAAAAAUCUCAAGGUUGUUGAGAGAGUUUGCGCAGGGCAGUUGUGUGUUGAAUUGGAUGAGGCUUUUUUUUUUUUGUUCGCGGUACUGUAUUUAUAGAAGAAGAGAAAAUCGUGUGCGCAACUCCCCACCAGUGUAGAAUUUGACUUCAAUUCAAACUUAUCAACUAGAACCUCAGUCAAAGACUUUUCAAGAUAAGCAGGAGAACCAUUCCGUCAUUCCUUAUCUUUAGAAACCGUGCCCUCAGAUUGUCUCCUAGUCCAAUUAGAACUUUAUGUCCACCAUAUUGAUCCAGGUGCAGCCAUGCACGCAAAAUAAGAUAGAAUAUAAUCCCCAAAAACUCUUUCACGUGGCCAAAACCAACAUACCAUCCAAAGGCAUAUAACUGCAUACAUCUUCCUCUGCUGCCGUGCCUUGUACAUACCCUCAUAUAUCCCGUCAUCAUCCAAAUCAAUUGAGAUUUAAUCAAAUAAUAAUUUAAUAUAUUACUAAGAGAUAACAUCAUGAUUAAAAAUCAUAAUAUUAUCCUUUAAUAAAAAUAUCUUCCCUUUUCCAUCCGACGGUUGAGAACUAUGCUUACUCAACGGCCUCAAUUACACAGGCCGAUGGUGUAAAUUUGGAUCCAAACACUUACUAACUAAAUUGAAACAAAUUACAAUUGAGAAGCUUUAACGAAAAAGAGAAAUGAUUUGAAUUUAACUAAAAUUUAAAUAAAGCUUGAAAAUAAUAAAUUGAAAACAUAAGAAAACUAGAUAUAGGGCAUCUGAAUUCACCGUAACCAAGUCUACUUAAUUCUCUUAAUAUGUUAUGCUCAAGUAGUUCUCCAAUAUUGAUGAUCAAUUUUCCUAAAUUAUUCAAUGGUCAUGACAUCUGGUUGCAUCAAAAGUAUCUUACAUGUGAACCCUAUAUGGCAUCUAGAUGGAUUUAAAUGGACUAGGAUUCUCUCCCCUCAUCUUUCCAUCACAUUCCAUCUCCUCCUCUCACACUCUUUAUUUUGUCUUUCUUUUUCUAUAAAAAAUUAAUAUAAGAUACUGACGUGGCUUAAUCGUGACCGUUCAAAUAGGAAGGGAGGGAAUGAGGGAAAAAAGAGAGGAGAGAAUCCUUCUCCGAUUUAAACAAGUAAGAACCCAUUAAGCUCUAUGGAAGUCAUUGGAAAAUCACACAAACCCUAAUUGCAUGACAUCUACAAAUAAGUGUUUAUGGUAUCAAUUGCAAGAAGCUAAACCCAAGUAUGGCAUCUACUCUAACUUGUAUCAAAUUAACUUAACUAAAACUUAGAUGGUGAUCAAGCAUCUAAAUAAAAAUCAAGCGCAUUACGAAUAGCAAAAGAUACUCAAUAUGGAAUAAAAACUUGAUAAUAACAAUGUCACAAGGCAAUUAAGUAUUUAUGAUCAGGCUACAUUAUAACCCUAGCAAAGAAAAACUCCAAAGUAGCUCUCCUCUUUGCCGCAACCAAAUGCCCCCAAACUAAUUUUGCUUGUCCUCGAGCAAACCAAAAUAAAACGCAAAACUCAAAAGAAACAAAUAGUAGCUAACUUCCCAAAUUAACAUAUUUUCAUAUAUGUUAGCUUGGUUUACUGCGUCAAUUAGUGCUUAUAUCUUUUGAUAAUUGAUAUAUAUGCGCGUGAAAUGAUGCGGUGGACGCUCAGGUGAGUUUAUUUAUUUCCAGCUGAGUUAUUUAUAUGAAUUGCAUUGAAAGCUCAUAACCUGCACCUAGGUGAUAGUGUUUAUAUUGUUAUUCACCACACCGCACGCUUGUCUUGGAUCCAAGUAUGUGGAUGUCGUACAGACCAUGUGAGGGUUCCGACAUGCCAGUCGUACAGACCAUUAGAGGGGUUCCGACUGGUGGAUGACCUUAGAUAUGCGUGCUGAUGAUUGAUGUGAGAAGCACUAGAGCGUAUUUAUACACCUGUCACCGUACAGACUACCUUAUGUAGUUCCGAGUGACGUGCAGAGUUAAACCGUACAGGUCACCGAGGUGACUCCGGUUGGAUGAGAUGUUGAGCUUUAGAAUCAGCCGUACAGGACCAUCGUAGGGUCUCCGGUUGACUUAGUAUUCACCUGAUUGAUAUUGAUUUACAUUCUGAUUAUAUUUUGGGCAUGGCAUACCGUUUUCUGUGAUAUAUUAUGAUGAUGAAAAUGUGCUGAGUUAUGAGGUUGAGUAUAUUUAUAUGUUUAUAUACUAUUUUCUGGGAAAGUAUACAGGUUUUUACGGCGAGGGGAUAUAAUUGUUUUAAUGAACUGUUUUGGAAAACUAAUUUGUUUUACUGACCCACUCAUUUUGUUUUGCGCCCCUCCAGGUUCUAGUUUAGCGGUGGUUGGCUCACGAGGUCCUUUUCCGGCUUUCUGACAGACCUUGGACAUGUAGGACUCACCUGAGGGUGAUGUAUUCUUAUUUUAGUCCUACUUGACUGCAGUUACCUAUGCUCUGAACUUAUGUGUUUGUAGUAUAACUCGUCCGGUUAUGUUCGUAGGUGGAUAUGUUUAAGUUGGUUUGAAUUUCAGCUGAUUUAUGUUCUUGUUUUGCUUCCGUGUCGCACCUUUGGUUACGUCACUCCCACGUGACGGCCAGCACACCUGGAUCCCCUGGAUCGGGGUGUGUCAGUUUUAAUAUUGUAUGUAAUUUGUUGUGAGACAUCACGCGAUGAGGCCCUUCAGUUUAAGAGGUUUUGCAAAACCUUUAGCAUAGAACAAAAAAAUGACCAGCCAAUGUUGGAGAUGAUUUGUUGGAACUAAAUAGACUAUAAAAUAGGUAAAGGUAGUAUGUUAGUGUGUGCAACUGCUUUUUACAAAAGGACAUUUAACGAAAAACUUAUGAUAUUGUUCACUUUAACGAAAAACCACAUUUUUACACUAAAAAGUCAAUUUUGGUACUAUUCAUUUUAUCCUUUAUUUUGUCCUUAUCGUUAAAACUCAAAAUUUUCAAGUCUUUUUUCAUUAGUUUUCAUUUUUACAAAAUAGGCGAUGGAUAGAGAGAAUGAGAGCCUACGAACCCUAAUGAGAUUGACCACUGAUUUGAUUGAUGGCUAAGAAUUAACAUCUCUUUUUUCUGUGACUUGAAGCACAAAUAGGUUUGAAACAAUAACAAAUUAAGAAAGCUCUUGAUAUUGGUGAUCUUAUAACUGGUAUAGGAUUAAAUCAAGAUAUUAGUCUCACGCGUCCUUGUGAUACACAGUGGAACUCACAUUAUGGUACUAUAGUUAGUGUUAUUGUUAUGUUUUAAGCCAUGGUGGAGGUGCUUGAAUGGAUUAAAGAUGAUGGCAACCAAGAUAAUUUCAGUGAAGCAAGUUCUUCCACGACAUACAAACUCUUGAUUUUGUGUUUCACCUUUUUUUUAUGAGACUUAUAUUGGGAAUUACAAAUGAGUUAUCACAAGCAUUACCAAAGAAAAUCAAGAUAUUGUGAAUGUGAUGACGUUAGUGGAAGUAUGCAAGCAAAGACUACAAUCCUUGAGAGAUGAUGACUUUGGGGACUUGCUUGAUGAUGUAUAAAAGUUUAGUGAGGAGCAUGAGAUUAUCGUUCCUAACAUGGAGGAUUUGCAUUUCUUACCCGAAAAAUCAAAGUGUAAAGCUCCAAGACUCACAAACUUCUUUACUAUCGUGUGAACCUCUAUUUUCAAGUUCUUGAUAUGCAACUAAAGGAAUUGAAUGAUCGCUUUAAUGAGGUAAACACCGAGUUGCUUCUUUGUAUGGCAUGUUUGAGUCCGGUAAAUAAUUUUGCAUCUUUUGACAAAGCAAAAAUUGUUUAUUUAGCCCAACUUUAUCCUCAAGAUUUUGAUCGUAUGGAACUCAUGAAUCUUCCAAUUCAACUUGAAAAUUACAUUCAUGAUAUGAAGAUGCAUAGUGAGUUUUCAUCAUUGAGAGGAAUUAGUAAUCUUGCAAAUGAGUUAGUGAAGACCAGGAGGCGUGUAAGCUAUAUGUUAGUGUAUAAGCUUCUUACAUUGGUUUUGGUGUUACCGGUUGCAACAGCUUCGGUGGAGAGAGCUUUCUGUUAUGAAGAUUGUGAAAACACCAUUGCAUAACAAAAUGGGAGAUCAAUGGUUGAGUGAUAGCGUGUUUGUUUACAUUGAGUGAGAUGUAUCUGCUUUUAUUGAUAAUGAGUCUGUUAUGCGAUGUUUUCAUGACAUGAAACCUCGCCGGCAACAAUUGUAAUUUGUUUGUAUUGAUAAAAGGAUUUGGUUGUUGUCACAUUCUUUUGAACCUUGCACUCUUUUAAGUUCGCCCUUCCCCCCAACAAUUCCCGGCAAUGGUCAUGGCAUCUGGUUGCAUCAAAAGUAUCUUACAUGUGAACCCUAUAUGGCAUCUAGAUGGAUUUAAAUGGACUAGGAUUCUCUCCCCUCAUCUUUCCAUCCCAUUCCAUCUCCUCCUCUCACACUCUUUAUUUUGUCUUUCUCUUUCUAUAAAAAAUUAAUAUAAGAUACUGACGUGGCUUAACCGUGACCGUUCAAAUAGGAAGGGAGGGAAUGAGGGAAAAAAGAGAGGAGAGAAUCCUUCUCCGAUUUAAACAAGUAAGAACCCAUUAAGCUCUAUGGAAGUCAUUGGAAAUCACACAAACCCUAAUUGCAUGACAUCUACAAAUAAGUGUUUAUGGUAUCAAUUGCAAGAAGCUAAACCCAAGUAUGGCAUCUACUCUAACUUGCAUCAAAUCAACUUAACUAAAACUUAGAUGGUGAUCAAGCAUCUAAAUAAAAAUCAAGCGCAUUACGAAUAGCAAAAGAUAAAAUAAAACUCCAAAGUAAAACCCUAGCAAAGAAAAACUCCAAAGUAGCUCUCCUCUUUGCCGCAACCAAAUGCCCCCAAACUAAUUUUGCUUGUCCUCGAGCAAACCAAAAUAAAACGCAAAACUCAAAAGAAACAAAUAGUAGCUAACUUCCCAAAUUAACAUAUUUUUCAUAUAUGUUAGCUUGGUUUACUGCGUCAAUUAGUGCUUAUAUCUUUUGGUAAACUUUCAUAACGAAUCAUAUUGAGUCAUAAUUUUUUUUUUUAACAUGUAUCAAUGACAUAACCCGCUGCAGAACCAAACUGUAGCACACAAUUCAUCACUGCUAUGACAGCUAAGACAUUCCAAAUCACACAAGUUUACAUACAUUGGGAUAAAACCCACAGUUAUUCAUUGUUAAAUAUAAUUACAAUAAGUUGAUUUUUGUUGGAUGCAACCAUCCAACUACUAUGAUCCUUCAGCGCCCAAUGUUGGAUUUUCUAAGGCGAAGAAACUCCAUACUCAAAAUCGUGGGCAUCGGCUGGAGAGAGAUUGUCUUCGCGUCUUGGGUUGAAGUGCGAGACCUUGAAGAAUAUGAGAACUGGAUCAUCUGGGUCCUCUUCUUCUUAUUAUUCUUUCUUCAAAUGCUUGUAACUCUUAUGGUUAGAGAGAAGCAGAGAAAGGAAAGAGAGAGGGAAAGAGGGGGCGACGAGAGACGGGGGAGAGGAGAAAGUGGGUGAAUCAAAGAAAAAAAGUAAUAGGUGAGGGAGAGAGAGAGGGGAGAGGAGAGAGUGGGGUGGGUGAAAAAGAGUAAUCUUUCUUUAUACCCAAAAGGAGAAAAAAGAUAAAAAAAGAAAAGAAAAAGUGCUGACUAGGCUAUGGGAAAGAAGUUACCGACAUCUCUCUUCCCUCCUCGGUUAUAAAUAGGGGGGUAUUUCAAAAAAAAAAAAAAACAGUAGUAGGAACUCUUGCCCACGCAACGAGGUAUUCCAACCGAGUGCUCGACUGACUUGUCUGUAAGUCUCUGGUUUUUGUUAGUGCGAUGAUGUCCCCAACAACAUUCUGGAUAAACAAUCCUUCACGCCUGCAAAUUGAGAGUCCAAAUUAUUCAAACAGAUGAUUCAUCAUAUCAUGCAACACCAAGAUUCAUAUGAACUAAACUAAUUCAUCAUAUAUGUUCAAUUAAGAAUUAUUUAGACGACCCUUAAGCUGACAUGACCAGACUGGUGGAUAACCCACUGGGAAUUUAUACAGAAAACGAGCCCUAUUACUUGCAACAACAUAAGGUUCCUGUGAGUAGAAGCUCUUCUUUGAUCAAUCAUCCAUGGCUUCCUCAGUUUUUUUUAUCAAUCGUCCAUGUGAUUAUUGAUCUGCUAAUGAAUUAGGCUUUGCUAUAUUUGUUCCAACAUCUGGUAUCAGAGCCAAUAAUAUUGGCUUCUCAUUAAUCCGUCAAGGCUGAUGCUUAUGUAAUUACUAAUCAUUAUUUUCUUCUUCUAAUUACUAAUUAUUAUAUUCUUCUUCUAAUCAUUAAUCUGAUUAUACAAGAUGUUCCAAGCGAUUAAAUUUUGUAAAAGAGGAAAUUUGAAUUUAUACCCGUCCGCCGUGGUUUUAAGAUUCCGGCCACACAAAUCUGCACAAGCCUUAAGGUCCCUUCUCCACUGCUCCACCUCAUCUGGAUCUUCAUCCCUUUCAUGCUUCCGAAAUGCUUCCCCAAAACUACCGCUCUGUUUCCUCACUUGAGAAGGGUCAACGUCGUAGAAUAUUGGAUAGACUACUUUCCCCUCUUGGUCUUC